UCCUUCUUUCUUAAAUCUUUUUCCGCUCCUUCCGCCCAUAUUUCUAGCGUAAGAAGCUGCUGAGCCACAAUCAAUCAUUCACGUCCUUCAUUCUCUCCCUAAGUACUGCCAGACAUUAAAACAAGAUACCCAGAGAUUUCGGUGUUAGAUUGAAGCAAUUCGAAGCAGAGAUUACGUUAAAGGAUUGAUGCAAUCUGAAGUAGAGAUUUUGUUAAAGAAUUGAAGCAAUCCAAGGGAUUCAAUGGGUUUGAUCGCUGAUCGCUGUUCAAUGUCCAAGUGGAGUGAUUGUUACAUGUUUUCUUCUAAUUUUAUUCAUCAAAGAAAUCUUGGACUACAUUUCUCAAACAACUGUUGCACUAGACAAAAACUAACACCAUGUCCGACGUUUAUUGAUGUAAGUUUUGUUUACCCUCUUAUUUCAAAUAUAAAUAAAUAUCAUUUUGAUAUACAAAUUAUUUGCAAUUGACAACUAUUUAUCUUACAUGUGCCACAGGAUCUCUGGAGAACAAUAUGUGAAAGCUGUUGAAUUGAGACAAUUGAAUUCAAGUGAUAUGUAUAUCUAGAUUUGACAAAUCCUGUAUGGUUCAUUAAAUUAGUGUGACAUGUUAUUCAAAA